CGUUUUGUUGAUUAUUGGCCAUUGAUUCUGAUUUUUUCAUAGCUUUCCUCUGGGCUUUUUUUUCUUUCUUAAAGUUUGUUCAAGUUUUGGAUCGAAAGACAAAAACUCAUGUUCUAAGACUUCCUAAUUUCAGUAAAGAAUUUGAUGUUGAAACUAAUGCUUCAUCUGUGGUUAUUGGCGUCGUUCUCUUUCAGGCAUGCCACCCCACAUACAACAUGCCUCAGCCUAUGUCCAUGAAAUGUAUGAUGUCAUAGAAGCAGUAAAAAAUGGUGUCAAUACUUAAUUAGUAGACCAUUCACAAUUCUCACAUAUCAAUAAAGCUUCAAACAUUUAAUGACACAAGGCUUACACACAUCAGAACAAUAGAAAUGGGUGACAAAAUUGAUUGGUUCCAAUAUGAGAUAAAGUACAGAACAUGUACCUCUAAUAGGG
rnacentral:lncRNA from 1 species